rnacentral:siRNA from 1 species
GUUGGGGUAUGAUAUUGC